rnacentral:rRNA from 1 species
AUUGAACGCUGGCGGCAGGCCUAACACAUGCAAGUCGAACGAGUGGCGGACGGGUGAGUAAUUUCUGGGAAACUGCCCGAUGGAGGGGGAUAAAUACUGGAAAUGGUAGCUAAUACCGCAUACCAUCGGAUGUGCCCAGAUGGGCUUAGCUAGUCGGUGGGGUAACGGCUCACCUAGGAGACGAUCCCUAGCUGUGCUGAGAGGAGGACCCGCCACACUGGAACUGAGACACGGUCCGGCCUCCUACGGGAGGCAGCAGUGGGGAAUAUUGCACAAGGGGCGCAAUCCUGAUGCAGCCGUGCCGCGUGUGUGAAGAAGGCCUUCGGGUUGUAAAGCACUUUCAGCGGGGAGGCGUUACCCGCAGAAGAAGCACCGGCUAACUCCGUGCCAGCAGCCGCGGUAAUAC